GGAAAUAUUCUUUAAAAACAGAGCACUGGACUUAAAUUCUGGAGAACUACCUUCAAACUACUGUCCUGCUACUCAACACCCAUGUGGUUUCCAAGAUAAGAGAAGAUCAAGGGAGUAGACAGAUAAAAAGGUCUUCUUCUCAGCUUUUCCUGCAACAUAGCCACAUUAACUGUUUUUCCACAUCCUGAUUCUGACAAUAGCCAUCCUGAGAAUGCUUUUGGAAACGGUGGUCUGAAACUACAAUGUGGAUUCAAAUCUGUAUAAGGCAGAAAUGUAUGGGGAAUUCUGAAAUCAAUCAACAAACAGUAAUUGAGCACCUACUAUGUGCCAGAAAGGUCAUAUGAGCACACAGCAUAAAGGCAGCUGCCCACAAGCCAGGAAGAGAAGCAUCAUCAGAAACUGACCAUGCUGGCUUCCUGAUCUCAGACUUUCAGCCUCCGGAAUGAUGCACUGGCUCUGUAGGCUCCCAGGAUAUGUGUGCUGCAUGGAUCUCUUCUCAUCUAUAUAACCUCAUCCAUAUAACUAAGAGAUUGAACCAAAUCCCCAGGCCUACUGAAUAAGAAAUCAGAGUUAAGGCCGCCAUGGGAGAGAUUAUUGCCUGCUCCUCCAAGCCCUUCACUGUAGAAUGGAAGCCUGUGAUUUUCCUGGCAUCAUGCAUGACUGAGAAGGUCAGUGUGGCUAAUUCUGAGCUUCAACAUCAGGAAGCCCAUAGUUCUUCACACUGAGCCGCCUCCUGCAGCACAGUCAUCCUUGUUGGGUGGUAGCUACUCUCCAGCCUGGCAUGGGGCACCCAGCAGAGAGGGAUCGGCAAUCACCAGGCUGGUGCAGCACGAAUGUAUAUUGGUUUAUGAAAGCGGCUACCUCCCACAUGCAAGAGAAGAGUAAAAGAGAAGAAUAGAAGAGGAAAGAAGAAAAAAAGGAGGAGGUUGGAUUUCCUAGAAACAGAACCUGAGAGAAGAAUUCAGGUGAGAUUACUGAAGAAGCAUUCACAAGAGAUCUGGGCAUUUGAAGGAGGAAGGCGGCUGAACCUGCAGGAUGAUCCAUUAACAACUGGAAAAAUAGCCACCAUCCAGGACAGAGAGGAUGUUAUGGGAAUAAUAGGCAUCAGACGUUCUCUGUGGUUAAAGUUAUUUCCUGUGAGAAAAAAAAAAAAAAAAAAGAACCCUAGGAGUUUUGGAAGGAUCCUCCCUAAACAGGUGCAGAACUUUUCCUUGCAAGUUAGAAAUAGAAUAGGUAAAGCAAUUUGUUCAAGAAAUGGGUCUAAAUGCCCUUUCAUUUCUCCAUGCCUUAUUUUCCUCAAGCAAUCAGUAGUAUAAGCAGGUGGAAAGAGCAUGCAUCUUUUGUUAUUCAUGAGAAUUUAAGGUGGUAUAAUGUCACACGGACUCCUUGAAAUUAAGGACCAUAUCCAAAGUUUUUUUUUUCUGUGUCUCUUACAA